rnacentral:rRNA from 1 species
UACGUAGGGGGCAAGCGUUGUCCGGAUUUAUUGGGCGUAAAGAGCGUGUAGGCGGCCUGGUAGGUCAGCUGUGAAAACUCGAGGCUCAACCUCGAGACGUCGGUUGAAACCACCUGGCUAGAGUCCGGAAGGGGAGAGUGGAAUUCCCGGUGUAGCGGUGAAAUGCGCAGAUAUCAGGAGGAACACCGGUGGCGAAGGCGGUUCUCUGGGCAUGUUCUGACGCUGAGGAGCGAAAGUGUGGGGAGCGAACAGG